rnacentral:rRNA from 1 species
UACGAGGGGAGCAAGCGUUGUUCGGAUUUACUGGGCGUAAAGGGCGCGUAGGCGGCCACGACAAGUCACUUGUGAAAUCUCUGAGCUUAACUCAGAACGGCCAAGUGAUACUGCUGUGCUAGAGUGCAGAAGGGGCAAUCGGAAUUCUUGGUGUAGCGGUGAAAUGCGUAGAUAUCAAGAGGAACACCUGAGGUGAAGACGGGUUGCUGGGCUGACACUGACGCUGAGACGCGAAAGCGUGGGGAGCAAACAGG